UAACCAACUAAUCUUACUAACUUUGAAGCAGAUCAUCAUUAAAUCAGAAAAGUAUGUAGCUGAACAAAAAAAUUAUAGAGCUUCAUUCAUAUUUGACAGCUUACCACUUAAAACUGUCAAUACAAAAAAAAAAGCAGUAAACAGAUAAUUUUAGAGCUGAAAUGACAAAAAAGUCAUCUUCUUGUUCCAUGGAAAACUUUUAACAGAGUAUUUAUGGGCUCUAAACCAUGCACUGGUUAGAAGAUA
rnacentral:lncRNA from 1 species